GACUUUCCAGAAAUCUGUCGCAGACUUGUUAAGCCAUCAAAAAACCGUAUUUAGUUCUAGCUCUAGGCUAUGGGACUAUGAGGACUCCGAGACGGUGUCCAAGUGAGAUGGCUGGCGAGGUUGUUCGAGGUAAUUUCAUGAUGAGGAUGGACCAGACUUUAAGACAUUCUGAGCUCCAUGAAUGUCAUGAGACACUCCAGGAGACGGUGGUUGCAAUGCAUUAUCAACACCCCGCAACCCCAACCCUCCAAUGGAACCCAGAACCCUCCGGAGUUCCUCAGGACCUGUCGGCAUGAGUGAGGCGAACACAUCGUGCGUUGGAGGAAGAGUUGCAGUGACGACUUGGACCACAGGCCAGGUAAACAGGUUUACUCUGAGCAUGUCAGCCCAUACUUCUGUGAUCAAAGUGCUAUUAAUAGAGAAAGAUGUAAUGCAACCAGAUGACCAUAUAUAUGUUGAUGAGUACACUCCUGUUG